GGCUGUGUUUUCACAGUAUCUUAGCAUCCUUUUUUGCUUUGUUUCCUUACAGGUGCUGUCACUGCCCUAGGUGUGCCAAGGAACAGAGGCAAGCGGGUAUCUUCCAGCCAGCCUCUGGAGUCGAAUCAAGAUUUGAGGUACCGUGAGGAGGUUUGUAGGCAAAGUUUGGUAACGGCUGCACCAAAGCACACGUCUCGAUGUCCACAUCCAAGUGACGAUGGAUUUUGUUCGCUCAUCUUCCAAAAGCUAAGUGUUGGGGCGAGUAGUUGGGAGAAGGGGAAAAACCUUUGCUAUCACAGGAGGCAGUUUAAUGUUAGCUUAGCAGAGAGGUCUGUAGUGGGAUGGGGCCCUUUGGAAGUAAAGGGAUAGGGCUUGUCCUCAGCCUCAGCAGAGCCUUUGCCGGGCAGGGCAGUUCCGAUCCAUCUCUGCGUUCUCUUUGAACGUUUCUCUGUGAACUUUGCGUCGUCAGCCUUCUUUGACUCUCAGCGUCGUCGUGGAUCUUUCCCCCGAGGAGCUCGCCUUCAGGCCCGGAGCUAUAGCCACGGUCCCCCGGCAGUCUUCGCUUCCUUCUCUAGGCGUACUGAGCCUUUUGAGCAUCCUCCUAACUGCUUUGACACUAACUUCUUUUAAGGAGUUACGUUUCAUCAUCACGUGCUGUCAUAGGGCUUUCUUUCCUUUGGCAUCAUCGGCCUGUGGGUCAUCCUGCGCUAGGAAUCUUGGGUCCAUAAGGGGAAACUGCCAGGCAGUUUCCACUCGUGUCUGUGUUAUGUCGUCCGUGUCUGUUAUGUUGUCUGCGUCCAUUGUCUUCUGUGUCGUAGGCCUUUGUUACAUCUCGAUGCUUUGUCGGCAUCAUUCCGCAUCAUAUCGGCCGCAUUUUACUCACGUUCCUCCCCGGAUAUCGCUUAUUCCGGCAUCUUUACAUUUUUACUCUCUGAGCCAGGAAGAAGUACACAAGAUAUUUUCCUUCAUCUUCCUUCUCAGCUUUGGCAGUGCCUUUUUUUCCCGUGCCAUUCUCUUGGAUUUCCAUAGGGAGUGUAUUACACCCUCCUCACGUGACUGCACUAGUUCUCUAGGUUCCAUCUUCUCAAAGGGUAGAGGGCUCAAGAAUUAAUCUCCCAGAGAGUUAUCUCAAGUUACUUAUAUUGUACCUAUGCUGGCUUAUACCGUGUGUGCUUAUAUUGUAUGCAAUUCUGCUGGUUUAUAUUGUAUGUACUUAUACUGUAUGUAACGAUGCUGGUUUACAUUGUGUGCGCUUAUAUUGUAUGCAAUUAUGCUGGCUUAUAUUGUAUGUACUUAUACUGUAUGUACCUGUGUUGGCUUAUAUUGUAUGCAAGUAUGCUGGUUUAUAUUGUAUGUACUUAUAUUGUAUGUAACGAUGCUGGUUUACAUUGUGUGCGCUUAUAUUGUAUGCAAUUAUGCUGGUUUACGUUGUGUGUACUUAUACUGUAUGUACCUGUGUUGGCUUAGAUUGUAUGCAAUCAUGCUGGCUCACAUUGUCUGUACUUUACUUACAUUGUGCCACUCUAGGAUCGGAGCUGCCCUGCCCUGGCAUGUAGUCACAGUUAGGUAGAACAGUUAUGAAACUUUACAGUUCAUCUGUCUUCUGUGAGAUUUUGGGUAGAAAGUUUUAUGGGUCCAGAGUCGGGAGAACUCCUAGCUGUCAGCCACUUGUUGACCGCCUCUUGUUGUCUCACAGGUCCUCGAGGCUAUGGAUUUUCCCAGAGUCUACAAUUUGAAAUCAAGGAACGGAAACCAGAGGCCGUGUUGAAGCAUGUUCUUCAGUGCGGUGCUUCAAGUAAGGGUUGCACCGUGUGCAAGUUGAAGAAUGUGAGAGAGCCUGUGA